GCCUAUCACUUGUCCAAUGUGUC
rnacentral:siRNA from 1 species